rnacentral:lncRNA from 1 species
CUAGUACUUUUUUCACAGGGUUACUUGUACAGACUGAAAGAAAUUACAAAUGUAGAGGAUUUUACACUGUGCCUAAAAAAUGAUGUUGUAUGUAUUAUAUUUUUAAAAAUAAGCUACGCGGAUUAGAAUGUUUUAUGGUGUUAUCUCUGGUGACAUCUAUUAGUCAUUUGUAUUUAACCUUCAAUCCACUCUUGUCUAACUUGUUUAAAAGCCUUUAAAGUCUUGGAACGUGUUCUAUUUCUUUGUAUCCCCUACAUAGCACGGGACUUUGCACAGAGAAGAUUCUCCGAAGAUAUUCAUUGAGGUGAUUUCAUUUCAUAAGAUAUUCUGUUUAAAUAGCAAAGGGAAGGACGAUUCAAUAUAUACUGUGGAUUUUGAUGAUGUGUUUGUUUCUUUUUUAUGCUAAGGAGCUCUUUGUUUUGCCUUUUCCCUUCUGUGCUCACGUUUUGAAAUGCCACUCGGGGGCAGCAUUGAGUCAGCUUGCACGUGAACUAGAAGAAAAUACAAACCUCCCAAGAUCAAGUCUUGGCACCACGCCUUACAAGGAGGCUGUGUCGAUCACAGAACAGAUCCUGACAAACAGUCCGUGAAAAACAGACAGCAGCUGGCUGACUGUGAAGGGAGCUCUGUCCCCCUGCCAAUUGAUACACGAGCCCCGGCAGCAGGUAUUCAGUAAGCGCCUACUUAAAGCGUCGAAUCUGGAACAUCUAAAACGUGGUGCUUGCCCAGACACCUGGCCUGGGACUGUGCACCACGCACCGCAAGGCUGGUGGAGCUGCCCGUCACUCCAGUCUCUGGAGGUGGCCUCAGGUGACCAGUGGCAGAUCACGCUUGUCCCCCGACGCCAUCCCCACCACUGGUCCUCAGCUCGUUACAAGGAAGCGAUUGUUAAUGAGCAUUCAUCUCCGAUCUGUGGAUUCGAUUCCAAAGUCUUGUAAACUUCAACCAUGUGAAUUCAUGUGUGGUUUCACAUAUGACAAGAAUGCCUCUUUUAAGGGCGCCUGGGUGGCUGAGAUGGGUUAAUCAUCUGAUUUUGGCUCAGGUCAUGAUCCCAGGGUCCUGAGAUCCAGGAGGGUCACUCCCUCUGCUCAGCGGGGAGUCUGCUUCUACCUCUCCCCCUGCCUCUCUGUCCAGUUGUGCUCUCUCUCGCUCUUGCUCUCAAAAGAAAUAAAUAAAAUCUUUAGAUAAAUAAAUAAAUAAAUAAAUAAAUAAAUACCUUUCCUUUUCUUUAGCUCUUUGGAGUUCGCCGCCACCUGCUGGAAAGGAUGCUGCUUGAUUCAUGACUCAAUUAGUAAAGCCAGUUAGAUCUUUAAAAUUUACUUGGCUGCAUUUUUGUUAUGUAACAACCCCAACCUCCCAUUGCUGUUGCUGAGGUUCCUCCUCAUUGCGUCUUUUUUUAAAAAAAAAGAAUUUAUUUAGUUACUCAUGAGAGACACACAGAGAGAGAGAGAGAGAGAGAGAGAAGCAGAGACACAGGCAGAGGAAGAAGCAGGCUCCAUGCAGGGAACCUGAUGUGGGACUCGAUCCUGGGACUCCAGGAUCUCGCCCUGUGCCGAAGGUGGCGCUAAACUGCUGAGCCACCCAGGGAUCCCCCCUCAUUGCUUCUUGAAAGCAGGACCAGUUCCUGGAAACAUCGGGGGUUUUCUCAGUGAAGUGAGAAUCUUUGUGGUACAAUUUCUGCUGUCUGCCUACUUAGGAGGGGCCUAGCUUUGUGGCCUUGACUUCACUAGGGCCGUUAUGUACACCCUUCUCCAGCAAGCUGGUUUUACUUACUCCUGUCUCGCAGCCCUGUUGAGUUUUGAAGUUUUCCAAGAGAACACCUGCAAGUCUCGUUCAAACAAAUUCAUCCUCUCCAAGGUGAUACCAAGUCAUGCAGCCUCGAGUCUCCCUCUCCUCUGUGAAACCGUAACACGCUCUGGAACAAAAGGCUGUUGACUAUUAAAAGGACACAGUUUCAGAUACUGAUGGCUGUAAGUCAGCUGUCCCGGCUGCUGCCUGCCCUGGGCUGACACAUCCCUCAGAAAUGCACUUUUCCUGGGAAGACCGACCAUCUCCUAAUCCUCCUGGACUGUAAAAACAAAACAAAAAACCAAGGGCAAUUUCUCAAGAAGGAGAUGUCUCUUUGAAAAACACCCUGAGGCAUAUAAAUAAGUAAUAUCUAGUUAAAAUGCAGAUUCUCAAACACCACCCCAGCAAUUAUUCAUUUAUCUGGGAUGAGGCACAGGACCGCAUUUUCUGACGGGCCUGGGGGCACCCAUGCAGCCUUGUUUGGAGAAACACUGAUAAGGCUUCAAGUUCUGUGUGGCAUUCUGGAAGCAUACUUUACAUUUUAAGAAGAGAAAAAUAUCUACUUAAAUUAGAUCAAGGCAGAGGCCUCAGAGACUUAAGGUAACCGAGAUAAGGGAGAAAUAUACUCACCUGCUUCACCUCCACUGCUUCACAAAACCAUUUUUCCCAGUCCACAUUUUUACUCCUAAUUAUUUACCACCUCACCUCAGGAAGAUUUGAGGCAAUGGACUUGGCCUUCUUAGCACUCAAGGGUCAUUAACCCAUUCUCUCAUUCAGGGAGACAGGAAGCAGUUAUUUGAAGAAUUGACUGGAAACAAGGGGGCAAGGUACGUGUUACCCUGACCCCCCUCCAGGGAAAGGAGUCUGAGCUUCUAGUGAACAUCACCUAUGCUGCGUCUCUCUGUGCUCAGAGACAGACACGUUCUGAGAACUGUUCUCUCUGUUGCCUCCUUGUGAGUCCUUGUGUUACCCUGGCUACACCUUAGGAUCACCUGCCAAGCUCUUCAAACAGACUAAUCCUAACUCCAGGCCUCCCCGAUUUAAAGGUCUAACUAGGUUGCUGAAGAGAACACUGUCUGAGCUGCUUUGAAGGGUGACCUGCCCACCGGGGGAGGAACACGUUUGCAGUGGCAGGGAAGUAUUCAUUUAUUUAACAAAUGUUUAUUGGAGGCCUACUCUCGGCAGGGCAGUGCCCUAGGAGAAAACUAUGGGGAAAUGAGACACAGAGCCUGGCCCUGAGGAGCUUGGAGCCUGGAGCCAUGAAAGGACAUCUCUGGUAUAGACAAUGGCACUCACCUCCGGUUUCUCUGCUUCUGCCCCUGCGCCCUGCAGCAACAUGCACCUGCUAAAACCCGGAUCUGAUAAUGAUGCUCCUCACUCAACACCUGCCUGUGGUUUUGUGAGAACAAAAUCUAAAGUCCCACAGUGAUCUGGGAAGCCCUAAAUUAUCUGGCCCUUUCUUGAAUCACUGACCUCAUCUCCUGGGUUCUUCCCUUGCUACCCAAGGCUCAGCCUCCGCCCUUCCAUUUCUCAUCCUCAAACCAGCCGGCAUCCUCCUGACUUCUCUUGCAGCGCUCUCCUCUUCCCUCUGCCCUGAAGGCUCUGCAGGACUCCCCACCUCCCCAGGGGUCUGCUUCAGGUCUCUGCUUCUAUUUGACAUCAUUGGCAGGGGCACCUUGGUGGCUCAGUUGGUUGAGCGUCUGCCUUUGGUUCAGAUCGUGAUCCUGGGGUCCUGGGAUCGAGUUCUGCAUCGGGCUCCCUACAGGAAGCCUGCUUCUCCCACUGCCUAUGUUUCUGCCUUUCUCUGUGUCUCUCAUGAAUAAAUAAGUAAAAUCUUGACCUCGUGGGCAGGCAGCACUGACCAUCCAACGCAAAAGAACAAAUAGCCUUCCUACCUUGCCAGCCUCUCUUUUUUUAUCCACUUUAUCGUUCUAGAGUACCUCACCUGUGUGACACACUGUAUCUUUCUUUUUUGACUUCUGCAUUUCUCCUACACUGGUCAGCACCCUUUGCAUUGGUGUAUUCCAAGCUGGGCCUUGCCACCUGCUGCGCUGCUAAAUGCCUGGCAGUGCAAGGCCCAUGGUUGGCAUGCAAUACGUACCCAUUGAAUGGAAGAAUACCUGGGAAUCCACCCACGGGGGCAGGAAGUGGGGCUGGAAGGGAGCCAACAGAAGCCCAGAAAGGGUGAUUUUACCUUGUGGAGGAACUGAUUUUUUUGCUUUAAAGGAAGAGACAGGGGCAACCUAGUGGCUCAGCAGUUUAGUGCCGCCUUCAGCCCAGGAUGUGAUCCUGGAGACCCAGGAUCGAGUCCCACAUCAGGCUCCUUGCAGGGAGCCUGCUUCUUCUUCUGCCUGUGUCUCUGCCUCUCUCUCUCUGUGUCUUCCAUGAAUAAAUAAAUAAAUAAAUAAAAUCUUUUAAUAAAUAAAUAAAUAAAGGAAGAGACAGGGGGCACCUGGGUGGCUCAGCAGUUGAGCGUCUGCCUUUGGUCCAGGUUGUGGUCCCAGGGUUCUGGGAUUGAGUCCCACAUCCGGCUCCUCAUGGAAGCCUGCUUUCCCUCAAGGUCUCUGCCUAUGUCUCUGCCUCUCUGUGUCUCUCAUGAAUAAAUAUAUAAAAUCUUUAAAAAAAAAUAAAGGAAGAGACAGGAUCAGAUCCAUGAUUUAGAAAGAGUCCUCAGAGCAGAAGAUAAGUGCACCUAUUUCCCCAUUUUAUAGAUGAAGAUGCUAAGACACCAAGGUAAUACAAAGGGCCCAUGUUUGCAAAGCUAGUAAGUGAAUUAGCAAGAUUCUGUCUGGGGAAGUUUGCCUCUAGAGCCAGCCUUAAUCACCAGGAUCUACUCCCAUCAGAUUAAGACAUAUUUUUCUGACCCAUUGUUUUUGAUUCAUUGUGUACUUUAAACCAAUACACAACACCAGAGCUUAAACACAGUAGGUAUGCAUUUAAUUUCCCUUUUCCAAAGGGAAGAGAAUCACGAGACAUAUUCUGUGCAUGAUGCCCCAGUCUGGCAUGUCCUUCUCUGUCCUCUCAGCUGCAGUCAGGUCUUGAGGAGUGGUUUCCAGAUAAGACACUACUCCAGGUGUGUACAGGUAUUGCAUUAGGCUCUAGGAGGCACUGGCAAGGAAGGAACAUUUCCCCCUGUGGCUAGCCGCCUAGGGCAACUGUCAAUUAACAAAGAAAGAUUACAGUUUUGAAAAU